GACAGGACAGGAAGGUAUGCCUCUGCCCACUUAUAUUCUAUCUUUCUAGAGCAUCUCAUAUCAUGCAGCGUUCACCAUUUGGUCAUAUCUUAAGCAGCAAGAAAUUAAUAAUCACGGGAAAUACAAGAGACUGCACAAGUGAUUUUUAAGUUAAUCAUUCAAAUCAAGUUGAUCAAGGAUACCACCAGGUCCCAUCCGAUGACUCGGUGUUUAUACUGAUAAUGAAUCUCUCCGUCAAUUCAAGAGGGGAUUAGAGGAAGCCAUUACGUUUCGUCCAUGCAGUCAAUUGGUUAUUAAUUUCGAGUUAGGCAGCUGAGAUUCUGAGGCUAAAAUCUGUACUUCCGGGGCUGCAGGUCAUGCUUGGAAGGGAGUACAUCCCCGGUGGAUCCAGGGGAAGAAUGGAUCAUGAGAGGGAGGUCCCAGGUUUUGAAUAUGGGAGAGCUACUAAACACUCAGCCUCACAUGUGGUGAAAGCAGAAGAGGCUGAGCUUUCGGAAAUGUUCCAUAAGGUUUUGCUGGUGGUGGCUCCGUGUUCUACUGAGUGCUGCCAAUCAACAGAUGCUGGCCAAAGCAAGGACUCGAGGCCCGAUCCACAAGUUCGUGGGUCUAAUGGUGGAAGGGAACAGGGCAGUAGACAGCGGAAUAAGAGCUCGGUGGACUUGAGAACGCUUCUGAUUCUUGAGGCUCGUAUGGUGGGAAAUGGUGAGGGGACCCAGAACUUCUGCGAGGCAAUCUUACCCAAGGGAGUUCAGUGGCCGACCUGCUGAAAGGUUGCCGACUUCAUAUCUCAACCGGUCCCUUCGAGAAGUUAUCCAUCAUGUAUGUGAAUUACAUGAUCUGGAAAUUGUCACAAAAGGCUGGCGUCCUCCAUAUUAUAGAAUCGCAUUUGGCUUAUAAGAGAUCGGGUACGUAGGUAAAGAGAAAUCCGCGAAUUUAUAAGAGAUUGGGUACCACAACCGACUAGCUCGAGUUUUUGGAUUGGAACUGGACCCAAUCGCUUAUAGACCCCGUGAAAUUUUAUAGGUAGGAAGGUCCACUCUUCACGCCGAGCGCGAGCACAUACUAGUAUUGGCCAAUAGACAUAGUGCACCUCGUGGUCUCACCAAUAUCGGAGGUAUCUGUCUCUGGACCGCGGCCCUGCUCUUAGUCUUACCAUGGUUUUGAUAGCUUUAAGGCUUUAGGCUCUCGUAGAGCCUCUGUGGUUAGCAGGGUUUUAUAUAUUUGGAAUUUUAGUCUGCUUGUGUUGCGUGUAGAAAGAUGAGUGUUUUCGAGUUGUUAAUUGUUGCAGUAGAAUUAUUGUUUUUGGGUAAUUGUUGCGGUAGAAUAUAAUCUUGAGUUGUAGGAUUUGUUAGUUUAUGGUUAAGAUUCAACAUUUGUGGGAUUUGCCGGCA